rnacentral:lncRNA from 1 species
UAAUUUUUUUUAUUAGUUCAAUCUAUUUUUUUCAAUCAUUAUAAAAAUUUAAAAUAUAUAAUUUUUUAUACAUAAUUUUUAAAUAGUUGGAUUACAUAUAUUAAACGUAAAUUUUAAUUUUAUAAUAAUAUUAAUUAUUUAGAUAUAAAUUGUAAAAUAAAAAAAAAAAGAGAUAGAUCGAGUUUAAGUUAGGGGCAAUUUCAUGGAUACCCCUCCCAAAGUCUUAAAUAUCAUAGAUAUCCUUAUAAAGUUUAAAAUAUCACCUAUAGCCUGCAGAAAAUUAUCAUCAAUACCUUUACUGUUAGUUAUGUUAGCUUUACCAUAGUUAUUAAAAGGUUAAAGCUGGGUUAAAUUUUAAAAUGACUUAUUUA